GGUGUUUUUCUUGUUUCUCUCUAUCUUUUUGUUUGUUUAUAUCUGGAGAUUCAUCAUACGAAACCGUCAUAUAUCUCCAUCGCCAUCUACUCCUUCCACCUUAACCACCGCCCAACCACAAGGAAUGAAAUAUGAUGUCUUCCUUAGUUUCAGAGGAGAAGACACUCGUUUUGAUUUUACCAGCCACCUCUAUGCCGCUUUGAACCGGAAACAAAUCCUGGCUUCCAUUAUCCAUAGAUUAUCAGCUUGUGAGAGGAGAUGAGAUCUCGGCAUCACUUCUGAGAACAAUUGAAGAGGCCAAGCUUUCUGUGAUUGUUUUUUCUGAAAACUAUGCAUCUUCCAAAUGGUGCUUGGAGGAGCUUGCAAAGAUUUUUGAGCGUAGAAAAAAUAAUGGACAGAUAGUUAUUCCGGUAUUCUACCAGGUGGAUCCAUCCCAUGUAAGAAAUCAAACAGGAAGCUUUGGAGAUGCAUUUGCUAGACUUAUAAAGAAGAAAGCUUUGACGAUGGACAAAGAGCAGAGCUUCAGAGACGCUUUGAAGGAUACAGCCACUCUAUCUGGAUGGACCUUAGGGAAUUCUCAGUAAGCUCUUGAAAUAUAUCCCAUGAGAAAAUAUUCGUUCUUUUGUUGAGUAUUUGAAAUUUAAUUUAAAAUUAUUGACAAUGAUGAUCUCUAUGAAUCCGUAUUUAUUUAAUUUGAUUUUGAAAACGUUGUAGCGAAACACUUGUACAUAUCUUAAGUUUUAGGAGACAGAAAAAAGAUACUUAUGAAUCCUUAUGUUAAAUUUUAUUAGGACAAUCAAUGUUUUCUUCUAUUGUUUCACUUGAAAUCGGGUCAUUAAUAGUCUAUUUAUUUGAGGUGAAGAAGAUCAUAUGUGUGGAAAAAUAAUGUAAAUUAUAUGUGUUGAGAUUUUCUCCUAACAACUUAAACUUUUUUAAUUAAAAUGAUUAUAUGAUAUGAGAAAACAUCUUAUGCAUUUGCAUUUCAAUGUUUUCUUUUAUUGUUUCACUUGGAAUUGGAUCACUAAUAAUCUAUUUAUUUGAGGUGAAAAAAAUUAUGAUGUGUUGAAAAAUAAUAUAAAUUAUAUUUUAAGAUUUUUUUCUAAUAUCUUAACUUUUUUGCUUAAUGUUUUUUCAUUGAGAUGAUAUGAUAUGAAAAAACAUCUUAUUUAUGUAUUUUCAUUUCAUUGAUUUUCUUAGAUAAAUAAUCACAUCUUCAGGGCCAUUGUAAGAUGCAACAUGCCGAUAAAUAAUCUGGUACAGUGUGAGAAAUCAAUAAUUAGAAAAAUUUAAGGUUCACUAAACUAAAUUUAGUAAUGACAUAAAACUUUCCCCAGGACGCAUGCAAAAUAAACAUGAUCUGAGUACUAGCACAAUAUCAGAAAAAUGUAAAGUUUGUUUUGACCAUUAUCAGCUUAGAAAUCAACAUCUGUGUGUGUGAAAGAACCAUUGACCAAAGCACUAUAACAAAUAAGAGUAUACCUGACUGAGACUGAGGCCAAUGAUGGCAAUAAAUUGUAAAUUAUAUCUCUCACUCUGAAACCAAGUUCAAGCUUGGUUGGCAAGAAGAAUUUGAGGAAAGCAAUGAAAAUGAAAAGAAAAAAAAUAUAGAAAACAUGAAUUUAUAUCAUUGGUUGUAUAUGAUAGUAAAAAAGCUCAUAAAAUCAGUCACAACCCAAUACUAAGAUAUUUAUUUUAAUAGAGAAAAUGGCGGUGAAGAAGAAUAGCCCAGGAAAUGGCGGUGAAGAUUCGUUUAGCAAGACUGGGAUGCAAAAACAGGGCAUUUUACAGAAUUGUUGCUGCUGAUAGGCAUACUCCAAGAGAUGGCAAACACCUUCAAGUUGUUGGUUUCUACGACCCCUUAGUAGGUUCCCUCUUCUUCUUCUCACCCUUCUCUUAUUAUUUUCAUAUGCUCAAUUCGUAUGAAGAUUUUUUUUUUUUAAUUUUAAAGACCUGGACUUUGAAGGCUUAUUGGGUUUAUUUUCAGGUUCUCACAUCAUCAAUGCAUGGUAUGUGUAGAUAACUUUGUUACUCAAGACUUAAACUUUGUGGGAUAAUGCAUUUGUAAUUUUAUUUUCUUAUGUAUAUGUAGUUUAGUAUGACCAUUGAUAGUACUGAUUUUUCAUAGUUUAUUCUGUCAUCCGUUAAAGUCUCAAAAAUAUGUUCAUAGUUCUUAGUUUUAGUAGUUUUGUGGGUUAAUUUUCAUCUAUUUUAAUUUAAAUCUAGUCCAAACUAAGGUCACUGGAUCAAGGUUUUAAGAAGUAUUUCUUUCCUCUUUUGUUUUUACGCAUAAGGUUGGAUGGAGGCCAGAAAUGAGAUGCAAGCUCACAUCAUGAAAAUGGUACAAAAUUCAAAAACAUUCUAUCAAGUUGCCAAAGCCUGGGCCAAUCCUCUUGUUGAUGCUCGGGCAAUAAUAGCCAAAUCGAUGGGGACGACGACUUGACCUUAAGUCUUCCUUGAAAUUACGUGUUUCCUUUUUCCAUAUAUAUAAAAGGAAAAGGGAGAAGGCAUCCGCUGAUUUAUUUGGAUUUUGGAUAGAUUGUGUGUAAUGAGCUGGAAGGAAUAUGUAAAAAGAAACACGUAAUUUCCAAACUCAGCUUCCCGAACACGCUGCCCAAGCACUCGCCAGGAAGACUACUUGAGGUCAAGUCGUCGUCCCCGUCAAUAUGAAGAAGAGGAUUGGCCCCAUCGAUCCCCCGUCCCUUCCUCUCUCCUUCAAGACGACUUCGUUUUCUUCUUCUUCUUCACAAUAAAUAAAUAUAUAUAUAUAAAAGGAAAAUGGAAAUGGCAUCUGCCUAUUUAUUUAGAUAGAUUAUGUAUAAUGAGCUGGAAAGAAGCAUGCAAAAAGAAGAUGUAAUUAUAAUUACAUGGCUGCAUGCCAAUUAUGUUGCCUAAAGCAGUAAACAGAACCACGAUUGUGAUUUUCAAUCGCUUUUAUAUUAAAAUCAUAGUUUAAAAUAGCAGUUUUUUUUAAAACUGUGUUUUUUUAAAAAUUAAACCAUAUUAUAUAUUUCUCUAACCAUAUCAAUUUGUUUUUUAAAAAAUUCCUAUUAUUAGACAGAAUAACAAGUUUUUCCCAAUAAAAUCAUCAUAACCAUUAUAAUAUAAUGUGAAGUCAACAAAGUAUACAGUAAAUGUUUGUGGAGCGAUUUAAAUUUAUGCUAUCAAAAAUAUUACAAAAAAUACUUGGACAUCAAUUUUAAUUUUUUUGUAUUUAAAAAUAAUGUAAUCAUUUUAUUAUGCUAUCAAAACAUUAAAAUACUGAAACAUCUACUUUAUUUUUUUUAAAGAAUAUUUAAAUAAUUCUAUUAUAAUUAUAAAAUAUUAAAAAAUUAAUUUAUUCUCCAUCAAUAUAAUAAUAAUGACAAAUAAACUUCAUUAAAAAGGUUAUAUUGCUCUCGAUCAAAUAACAAAAGAUCUGCUACUCCGCUAAGGGAACAGCUAAUACAUUUGAAAUAUGAAAAAAGUUAUUUAUCACAGCUGUGAUGUGAUAAACAAGAAUCUAUAUGCUUUUGAUUUUUAAAAAUUAUUUUUAUACCAGUAAAUUACAAUAAUAAAAAAAACUAAAAAAUUAAUUUAAAAAAAAUAAAAAAAAAUCAAAAUUUAUAAAAACACUGUGAAUACCAUAAAAACAAAACAACGUAUAAAUGCCUUUUCCUAUCACAUCACUUUGUAACUGGGGAAUUUCCAGGAAAUCAACAAUGUGCAAUCUUGUAAUGUUCUAAGAAAAUUCUUGGAUUUGAUGCCUAUAAAUUAUACAUAUGCCUAAGGCAGGGUCUUCAACACUUAAAGCCGAAGCUACUGAUUCAAAAUCAGCCUCAUCUUUUUUCCUUUGAGUUACUUCCGCUCUCUCCCUCCAGACCUACCUUACCACCAGAGUCUAAUUACUCUUGUUUCUUCGACUGCUUCUCCACAAAACAAUGGCGGUGUUUUUCUUGUUUCUCUCUAUCUUUUUGUUUGUUUAUAUCUGGAGAUUCAUCAUACGAAACCGUCAUAUAUCUCCAUCGCCAUCUACUCCUUCCACCUUAACCACCGCCCAGCCACAAGUAAUUAAACAUGAUGUCUUCCUUAGUUUCAGGGGAGAAGACACCCGUGUUGGUUUUACCAGCCACCUCUAUGCUGCUUUGGACCGGAAACAAAUCCGAACU
rnacentral:lncRNA from 1 species